rnacentral:rRNA from 1 species
UACAGAGGGUGCGAGCGUUGUUCGGAAUUACUGGGCGUAAAGCGCGCGCAGGCGGCUCUUUAAGUCUCGUGGUCAAAUGCCGGGGCUCAACCCCGAGCGUGCCGGGGAUACUGGAGGGCUGGAGACAGGUAGAGGCAAGCGGAAUUCCGGGUGUAGCGGCGGAAUGCGUAGAGAUCCGGAAGAACACCGGAGGCGAAGGCGGCUUGCUGGACCUGGUCUGACGCUGAGGCGCGAAAGCGUGGGGAGCGAACAGG